UUUUGCCGCUGACACUUAGAAAAUUUUGGGCUAAAAAUUUGUUUGCCUCCAAACCAAAAUCCCCAAUUCACACUUAGAAAACCUAAAACCCUUUUUGCCUCCAUUUUGCUCGACAUUCACAUCGAAACAAAUCUCAGUCUCUGUCUGAAGCUCUCACACACAAAUCUCUAUCUCAUUAGUUCGUCUUCUUCUCAUUCUAUCGAUUUCAGUCUCGAUUCUUUGUGUAUCUCAGUCUCGCGAAGGAGCACAGCAAAUCUAUCUAGCUCGAACCCACAAAUCUCUCUCGAACCCACAAAUCUUCAGUAUCUCAAACCCAGAAAUCUUCAGUCUCUAGAACCCAGAAAACCUAAAUCCAGCUUCCCCUUUAACUCGAUUUUCACUUUCCAAGUCUUGGAAACAAAAUCCCUACUGAAUCGAGUUUAUGCAAAGGUAAAAUCGGGUCUUUCUUUUUAACAAUAAACCAGAUACAGCUUUUAUGUUUGAUUUUUAGUAAUUUAGGGUUCUAGCUUGCAUGUUGUUUUGAUGUGUUUCGAUUGGGUUUACUAUUUUGCAGGAAGGUUUUGUUUAAUUCAAGUUCUUCUAGUGUCAAGGUAUGAUGUCUUCUAUGUGUUUCUCCUUUGAAUAUGUCUUUAUCUUAAAUGUUUCAUUCAGAUUUCUCGAUUUAUACUGUUGUGUUUCCUUCUGUAGCUCAAGUUAAGCAAAAGAGAAUAACAUCUAGCAGGUACCUCACUCACACUUGAUUCUUUAGCAGUUCUCUACUGUUGUUGUGGCUUACUUCUACUAUUCCUAAUAACCUUGUAUGCACAUUUGGUCGGAGCUACUUUAACAUGGAUAAAGCUUGGGUCUGGUUACCAAGGUUCCUCUGUUUAGGUGUAAUUGGGCUAACAAAGGAAAUGGAGUCAAAGUGGAAGAUGGUUUCACACUUGUGAAUCUCCAUCAGAAUCAGUCAUCAUACUUAAAUGAUCCUUUCAUACUGCCAUCACAAGCUAAACAAAUUUUCUACUCUAGAGAUGAUGAUUGCUCACCUUGGUAAUUGAGUACAAUGGAAACUGUACCAAACAGGAAAA